GUGUAUUCAUAUUUUUGAAAGAAUUUAUACCUUUUCAAACAGGGGCGCAACUUUGGUUUUAGAUGUGGGGGGGACAUAUAUAUAUAUAUAUAUAUGGAUUGAGUUCAGUUAUGGAACUCAUUCAGUUUAACUCGAAUGCAAACAGUGUGUUAGGCAGGAUCAACUCUGGGAUGAUUGCUUCUGUCUGAGUGGGAUAGGAAAAGUCGAUAUGUGUUUCGUCGAUAGGACAUCUUCAUCGCUUUGCUAAGCAUUCACCUGACCUUGCAGAAGACUCAGUACACUACUGGCACAUUAAAGCCUGAAUCUGUGCACAGUUCUCCGCCGACACCAGAGGAACAUACCUCAGCAAUUGUGUCAAAAGUAACACCUGAAACGUCCACAGAAUGUACAGAAACCUCAUACAGGUGAAGGAUCAGCAGUCAGGAAACAUAUGGUCUCUCCUGCGAUCUGAAGAAGAUACAGAAGAUAACCCCAAAGGUAGACUCUGACAGAUGUUGCAUACUGACGAUGUCAUGAUGAGGAUGUCAUGUCACUCAGGCAGCGUUUACACAGGCCGCCCAAUUCCGAUGUAUUGGCACAUUUGAUACCUAUCAGAUGUUUUCCGAAGGUGUAAACUGCAAAAAACACAUGGAAUCUGAUAUUUUGAAUUCUGGUUUAUUACACAUUCGGAGGGCUUCUCCAUCCAGAUAUGAUUCUGAUGUUUCAUAUGAGACAGUCUGGAUGCUCGGAUCAGAUUUAUUUGCUCAAAGGUGUUUUUAUUUUUUUUGUACAUGACCUGGCUGUUCCCACGACAACAUUUAAAGCAACGGUGACAGCAAAUUAUCCUUGCAUCUGUGUGCUAUUUUAGAGGCUACGUCAGUGUGAAUGCACAAGUCUCAUAUGGGUCACAUAUCAAACUGAAUGUGAACAGUCAAAAACAUUGGAUAUUAAAUACAAAUCUCAAUUGGAUUCUUAGGAUGGCUGUGUGAACGUAGCCAUAGUAUCAGAUGUAGGCUGAUGCUACAUGCUGGAUAUUUCAUGAUAAUACAUACCUCAUGUUUAGUUCACUUUGUUGAGGUGUCACUCAAGCUUUAAGGUGCACAGACAUGCAUGCAACCCAGUAAGGGUGCUUCAUUCCACAGGAGCAGGCUCGUUAAGUUUUAUAAUAAUACACAUAUUCACAAUUAGCUAUCACCCUUGUUACGCUGCAUCAAGCCUCCAAAAAUGGCAAGGUUGCUCCAGCUAUGUUCACUGUUGCCCCUUUAAUUGACCGACUGGGUUUGAACCCUGGUCAUUUGCGUGCCAUACGACUGUGACAGCCUUCUGGAAGCUAAGACAUUGGCUCACAAAGGUUACUCAUCACCCCAACCACUUCCGUGUCCCUUUCAUGGCCCUUUCAGGUGUAAAACCAAGGCCAGAGUAUUCUCCAUCCGAGCACAGUGAAAGGGCAAACACACAAGAUUUUUAACUCACACAUAAAAAAACACAGUAAUUUACCAGGCCUAUAAUUAUUUUUAUAUAAUAGUUUGAUCUAUUUUCCAUUAUUUUGUAUUAUUGUUGGUAUUUUGCUUGUUGAAUGUAUUGAAAUGUAUUAAAUGCAUAACAAAGUUUGAUCAGUCUGCAGCUUCGGUCCAAAGUGAUCCUGGACGCAGACACAAAGGGCCGGCCCCAGAUGGUGAAGGUAGGCAACAACACCUCCGCCACACUGACCCUUAACACGGGGGCCCCUAAGGGGUGUGU